rnacentral:rRNA from 1 species
AUUGAACGCUGGCGGCAGGCCUAACACAUGCAAGUCGAGCGGAUGAAGGGAGCUUGCUCCUGGAUUCAGCGGCGGACGGGUGAGUAAUGCCUAGGAAUCUGCCUGGUAGUGGGGGAUAACGUCCGGAAACGGGCGCUAAUACCGCAUACGUCCUGAGGGAGAAAGUGGGGGAUCUUCGGACCUCACGCUAUCAGAUGAGCCUAGGUCGGAUUAGCUAGUUGGUGGGGUAAAGGCCUACCAAGGCGACGAUCCGUAACUGGUCUGAGAGGAUGAUCAGUCACACUGGAACUGAGACACGGUCCAGACCCCUACGGGAGGCAGCAGUGGGGAAUAUUGGACAAUGGGCGAAAGCCUGAUCCAGCCAUGCCGCGUGUGUGAAGAAGGUCUUCGGAUUGUAAAGCACUUUAAGUUGGGAGGAAGGGCAGUAAGUUAAUACCUUGCUGUUUUGACGUUACCGACAGAAUAAGCACCGGCUAACUUCGUG